AGAGUUUGAUUAUGGCUCAGGAUGAACGCUGGCGCCGUGCUUAACACAUGCAAGUCGAGCGAAGCACUUUGCUUUGAUUUCUUCGGGAUGAAGAGCUUGGUGACUGAGCGGCGGACGGGUGAGUAACGCGUGGGCAACCUGCCUCAUACAGGGGGAUAACAGUUAGAAAUGACUGCUAAUACCGCAUAAGACCACAGCACUGCAUGGUGCAGGGGUAAAAACUCCGGUGGUAUGAGAUGGACCCGCGUCUGAUUAGUUAGUUGGUGGGGUAACGGCCUACCAAGGCGACGAUCAGUAGCCGACCUGAGAGGGUGGCCGGCCACAUUGGGACUGAGACACGGCCCAA
rnacentral:rRNA from 1 species